CUGCACUGAACAUGCAGAUGAGAAAGCGACUUAAAGUGGGGUGAACGAAGUGAUGAAUUCAGACAAAAUCAGUCAUCAUUUGAACAUCAGUAUCAUCAGGUCUACAGUGCAGUAAGUAUGAAGACUCUCAGCCUGACGGUGGGACUGCUGCUCGUGGUGUUUGCAGUUUACCACAGCGAUGCCUGUAAGUCUGUGUUAGAUUUUUCCCAGGUUUUCACACACAAAAUAUGAGUAAUCCUGAGCAUCUUAUCUUGCCAUUAGAAAUUAUAUGUUGGUUAUUUUUGUCAUGUAUCUCUUUGACUUUUGCACAAGCAUUUUUUUCCUUUGGUUUUUCUUACCUAAAAUAAAUUUAAUUAGUGUCUUUGUUCAAUCACAGAGUGAGAUAGCCAUGAUGUCAGUGUCACUGAUGUGUAUUGUCACGAAGACCAACGUUAAUCUCAAGUGAGCUAUGAGAAUGUGGCUUGAAGAAGGGUCAUUGGACCGAUCACUUCAGACACGUCAUCAUCAGGUCUACAGUACAGUCAGCAUGAAGACUCUCAGCCUGACGGUGGGACUGCUGCUCGUGCUGUUCACCGUUUACCACAGCGAUGCCUGUAAGUCUGCCACUUGGACUUGUGUUAGAUCAGUUUUUGAAUUUCUGUCUUUCUCUUCAUUCAGACACAGAGUGAGACAGGGGGAGGAUAUCAAACUCAUAUAAGUUCAUGGUCAUGAAGACCAAUGCUGAUCUCAGAUCCCGUGGACCCGUCCCUGUUUUCCCGGUGAAGAUCCUUAGUUGUGGAUGACUGGAGAGUGGCUGGUAGAGAGCAGUGAGUGGGCGAAGAAGCGCAAGUGUUUUCCCUUGUCCUCCCCACCUUGGAUUCCCUGGAGCCCGGACCCCUGUCACACUUGUAUAUAGCAAAAUUCCCUGCACUGUCUGUAAAUACACCUGUGAAUGUGAAAUAAACCUCACUGUGUCUUCUGUGUGUGAAUCCUCAGUGAACCAUUACAUAAGUAUACACAUGUUUCAUAUAAACAUAGUCUAACAUUCUUAUUGGCAGUAGCUCAAAUAAUUGAGCAUUUCAAUUACAUGAAAAAUUCA
ensembl:lncRNA